UACGGAGGAUGCAAGCGUUAUCCGGAAUGAUUGGGCGUAAAGCGUCCGCAGGUGGCAAUGUAAGUCUGCUGUCAGAGCGUCUGGCUCAACCAGAUAAAGGCAGUGGAAACUACAUAGCUAGAGUAAGGUAGGGGUAGAGGGAAUUCCUGGUGUAGCGGUGAAAUGCGCAGAUAUCGGGAAGAACACCCGUGGCUAAGGCGGCUCUCUAGUACGGUACUGACGCUGAGACGCGAAAGCGUGGGGAGCGAACAGG
rnacentral:rRNA from 1 species